rnacentral:rRNA from 1 species
UCUAAGCCAUGCGAGUCAAGGUGUCUUCGGAUGCCGGCGUACGGCUCAGUAACACGUAGGUAACCUACCCUCAGGACUGAGAUAACCCCGGGAAACUGGGGCUAAUAUUAGAUAGAUAAAAGGUACUGGAAUGUUCUUUUAUCCAAAGCUUUUGCGCCUGAGGAUGGGCCUGCGUCCGAUUAGGUUGUUGGUGGGGUAAUGGCCCACCAAGCCUGCGAUCGGUACGGGCAGUGAGAGCUGAAGCCCGGAGUUGGGGACUGAGACAAGGCCCCAGGCCCUACGGGGCGCAGCAGGCGCGAAACCUCUGCAAUGCGGGAAACCGUGACAGGGGGAUCCCAAGUGCUCAUGCAUUGCAUGGGCUGUUCUUUGGUCUAAGUAACCAGAGGAGUAAGGGCUGGGCAAGACCGGUGCCAGCCGCCGCGGUAAUACCGGCAGCUCGAGUGGUAGCCGCGAUUAUUGGGCCUAAAACGUUCGUAGCCGGAUAAGUAAGUCUUUGGUUAAAUCCUACGACUUAACCGUGGGAAAUCUAGAGAUACUGCUUGUCUUGAGACCGGGAGAGGUUGGAGGUACUCCUAGGGUAGGGGUGAAAUCCUGUAAUCCUAGGGGGACCACCUGUGGCGAAGGCGUCUAACUGGAACGGGUCUGACGGUGAGGGACGAAACCUAGGGGAGCGAGCCGGAUUAGAUACCCGGGUAGUCCUAGGCGUAAAUGAUGCGAGUUAAGUGUGGGGGCAUCUACGAGAUGGCCCUGUGCUGUAGGGUAGCCGUUAAACUCGCCGCCUGGGGAGUACGGUCGCAAGGCUGAAACUUAAAGGAAUUGGCGGGGAGCACCGCAGAGUGAGGCUGCGGUUCAUUGNCUCAACGCGGAAACUCACGGG